rnacentral:sRNA from 1 species
AUAGUCGAGAAGCACCCAGGUCCUGAUAAA